rnacentral:siRNA from 1 species
CUAUGACUCUCUUAAGGUAGC